AGAGUUUGAUCCUGGCUCAGGAUGAACGCUGGCGGCGUGCCUAAUACAUGCAAGUCGAGCGAACGGACGAGAAGCUUGCUUCUCUGAUGUUAGCGGCGGACGGGUGAGUAACACGUGGAUAACCUACCUAUAAGACUGGGAUAACUUCGGGAAACCGGAGCUAAUACCGGAUAAUAUUUUGAACCGCAUGGUUCAAAAGUGAAAGACGGUCUUGCUGUCACUUAUAGAUGGAUCCGCGCUGCAUUAGCUAGUUGGUAAGGUAACGGCUUACCAAGGCAACGAUGCAUAGCCGACCUGAGAGGGUGAUCGGCCACACUGGAACUGAGACACGGUCCAGACUCCUACGGGAGGCAGCAGUAGGGAAUCUUCCGCAAUGGGCGAAAGCCUGACGGAGCAACGCCGCGUGAGUGAUGAAGGUCUUCGGAUCGUAAAACUCUGUUAUUAGGGAAGAACAUAUGUGUAAGUAACUGUGCACAUCUUGACGGUACCUAAUCAGAAAGCCACGGCUAACUACGUGCCAGCAGCCGCGGUAAUACGUAGGUGGCAAGCGUUAUCCGGAAUUAUUGGGCGUAAAGCGCGCGUAGGCGGUUUUUUAAGUCUGAUGUGAAAGCCCACGGCUCAACCGUGGAGGGUCAUUGGAAACUGGAAAACUUGAGUGCAGAAGAGGAAAGUGGAAUUCCAUGUGUAGCGGUGAAAUGCGUAGAGAUAUGGAGGAACACCAGUGGCGAAGGCGACUUUCUGGUCUGUAACUGACGCUGAUGUGCGAAAGCGUGGGGAUCAAACAGGAUUAGAUACCCUGGUAGUCCACGCCGUAAACGAUGAGUGCUAAGUGUUAGGGGGUUUCCGCCCCUUAGUGCUGCAGCUAACGCAUUAAGCACUCCGCCUGGGGAGUACGACCGCAAGGUUGAAACUCAAAGGAAUUGACGGGGACCCGCACAAGCGGUGGAGCAUGUGGUUUAAUUCGAAGCAACGCGAAGAACCUUACCAAAUCUUGACAUCCUUUGACAACUCUAGAGAUAGAGCCUUCCCCUUCGGGGGACAAAGUGACAGGUGGUGCAUGGUUGUCGUCAGCUCGUGUCGUGAGAUGUUGGGUUAAGUCCCGCAACGAGCGCAACCCUUAAGCUUAGUUGCCAUCAUUAAGUUGGGCACUCUAAGUUGACUGCCGGUGACAAACCGGAGGAAGGUGGGGAUGACGUCAAAUCAUCAUGCCCCUUAUGAUUUGGGCUACACACGUGCUACAAUGGACAAUACAAAGGGCAGCGAAACCGCGAGGUCAAGCAAAUCCCAUAAAGUUGUUCUCAGUUCGGAUUGUAGUCUGCAACUCGACUACAUGAAGCUGGAAUCGCUAGUAAUCGUAGAUCAGCAUGCUACGGUGAAUACGUUCCCGGGUCUUGUACACACCGCCCGUCACACCACGAGAGUUUGUAACACCCGAAGCCGGUGGAGUAACCUUUUAGGAGCUAGCCGUCGAAGGUGGGACAAAUGAUUGGGGUGAAGUCGUAACAAGGUAGCCGUAUCGGAAGGUGCGGCUGGAUCACCU
rnacentral:rRNA from 1 species